AAAGUACAUUAAAAAACUCUUGAUGGACCUUAAGGGAGAGAUUGAUAACAAUACAGUCAUAGUGGGGGACUGCAACAGCACCCCAAUG